AAAGUAAAUUGCACGGUAUUUUUCGUGGAAAAAUCUAGUUUACAAAGGGUAAAAAACAACGACCUUCACCCUUACAGGAUUCAACCAAACUUCACUAACACAAUGAACCUUUAACAAAGUUUAGAUUAUAACUCUUUCAAUUCUAGGAACUAAACUAUAAUCCCUAUAACUUCAACAAUAACCCUUGAAUGUUGAAACCCUUCUUCGAGUUGCCCUCAACUUAAAGUGUUUCAAUUUAAUAAGAACAAUACAUAAAAUUAGACUAAAAAACUGUAAAACACAAUCCUAUGAAACAUGUUCUAUAAUUUAGUUCUUUGUAUUGGUUGCACUUGGAUCUCCAGUCAAAACUCUCUCAAAUAUGAACUCCCUCUAUUUGAUUGUAAUUUGUCUUUGCUCUCAACAAAAGUGCAGAGUAGUCUUCGUAGAGGCUUUUGUGUAUUUAUAUCUUUGAGUCUUGUCUUCCUUCAAGAAGGCUUCUUGUUUUCCAAGGAAUCUCAUUCCUUUUUAGGGUCUUUUAAUAUGCCGACCAUACUUGAGAUCCUUUUCCAUAUAGGAUUCUUCUAUUUUAGGUAACCUUUUGCACGUUGGACUCUCAUCUUGGACAUGAAACACACUUCAAAACCUUCUGCAUUUGAGAUACUCGUUGUUCAAGUUGGAAUCUUCCUAAGUGGAACAAUUAGUAGGAACCUAUUUCUUGCAUAUGUUUCAUUUCUCUGUAAAUCAUAAAAAAUCUUAUUAAAUCUAUAAAUUCUCCUUUUUUGAUGAUAAUAACCCCCUACUUCUUCUGUGUUAUGUUCACCCUGUUUUAUAUCCAUUUUUUAGGCAAAGCAUCAAAAUUCUUUCUCAUCAACCAGCAAUUUGGUACCUAGCGAGACAUAUUGCAAGACUCAAAUCAAUAAAAUAUAACAAAUUUGUGUUUUAAUUUCAUAAUAGUAAAUAACAAGCCUCCCUUUUACUAAAAGGUGGGGGUGGGUAUAAGUGGAAUAGUCAAUAUAAACAAAUGUUUGGAGAAAUUGGGGUUAGGGGAUGUCGGCGGUGAGAGAUUUCGGGGAAGGAGCUCCGCUUCUUGGAGAAAUUAUGUGUUUGUCGUUGGAGGAGAGCACCACCGUCCCACCGCCAUAUCAAAAACUGAUAGUGAUAGUGAUCCCAAACAACGUUUAAUCUCUCUCGAUGUCUUCAGAGGCUUUACCAUCGCUGUAUUUACUUACUACUUUCCCCCUUAAUCACCUUUUAACAAAAAUACAUUAGCUAGAACUCUUGAUACAAAAUGAUAUGUCAACCUAAAAAAUUUGAUUGACUAUUGAAAUUAUAUUAGUGCAUAUAAAUUGAGAUGUGACAGAGGAAGACAUAAAGUAACAUAUAUUAUUUGAAAAUGAGAUAAAAGUAUUAUAAAUCACAAUAAUUAAGAACUUAAUAUAAAUGUACAUGUGUAAAAUAAUAUAAAAAAAUUUGAUUGACUGUCGAAAUUUUAUCUGUUCCACAUAGAUAAAGACAGAGAGAAUAUUCAUAUAUUAUUGAAAAAUUAUGUAAAAAACAUUGUAAAUCAAAUAAUUAAAAACUUAAAUUAUUUAAAAGAUAUAAAAUAUUUGUCCGACUCUCGAAAUUAUAUCAACAUCACUUAAAUUGAAACAAAAGAAAAUGAUAUCAUAAAUUACAAUAUUAAAAACUUAAAUUAUUUUAAUAAUUUAAAUAUUGAGAUAAAAAAAUAACAUAUAUUGCUAGCACGAGGCAUCAAUAGCUAGUUGAUUCGAAUAAAUUUUAAAACAAAAGUAUGGUAAUAAAAUUUUUACAUAAUGUUAUUUUAGUGACCCCCUAACUUGCCUAUGGAACAAGUUUAUUUAUUUGUUUCUUUACAAUAACUUGAUUUUAUAUAGAGUAAAGAAAGUAAAGUAAAUUGCACGGUAUUUUUCGUGGAAAAAUCUAGUUUACAAAGGGUAAAAAACAACGACCUUCACCCUUACAGGAUUCAACCAAACUUCACUAACACAAUGAACCUUUAACAAAGUUUAGAUUAUAACUCUUUCAAUUCUAGGAACUAAACUAUAAUCCCUAUAACUUCAACAAUAACCCUUGAAUGUUGAAACCCUUCUUCGAGUUGCCCUCAACUUAAAGUGUUUCAAUUUAAUAAGAACAAUACAUAAAAUUAGACUAAAAAACUGUAAAACACAAUCCUAUGAAACAUGUUCUAUAAUUUAGUUCUUUGUAUUGGUUGCACUUGGAUCUCCAGUCAAAACUCUCUCAAAUAUGAACUCCCUCUAUUUGAUUGUAAUUUGUCUUUGCUCUCAACAAAAGUGCAGAGUAGUCUUCGUAGAGGCUUUUGUGUAUUUAUAUCUUUGAGUCUUGUCUUCCUUCAAGAAGGCUUCUUGUUUUCCAAGGAAUCUCAUUCCUUUUUAGGGUCUUUUAAUAUGCCGACCAUACUUGAGAUCCUUUUCCAUAUAGGAUUCUUCUAUUUUAGGUAACCUUUUGCACGUUGGACUCUCAUCUUGGACAUGAAACACACUUCAAAACCUUCUGCAUUUGAGAUACUCGUUGUUCAAGUUGGAAUCUUCCUAAGUGGAACAAUUAGUAGGAACCUAUUUCUUGCAUAUGUUUCAUUUCUCUGUAAAUCAUAAAAAAUCUUAUUAAAUCUAUAAAUUCUCCUUUUUUGAUGAUAAUAACCCCCUACUUCUUCUGUGUUAUGUUCACCCUGUUUUAUAUCCAUUUUUUAGGCAAAGCAUCAAAAUUCUUUCUCAUCAACCAGCAAUUUGGUACCUAGCGAGACAUAUUGCAAGACUCAAAUCAAUAAAAUAUAACAAAUUUGUGUUUUAAUUUCAUAAUAGUAAAUAACAAGCCUCCCUUUUACUAAAAGGUGGGGGUGGGUAUAAGUGGAAUAGUCAAUAUAAACAAAUGUUUGGAGAAAUUGGGGUUAGGGGAUGUCGGCGGUGAGAGAUUUCGGGGAAGGAGCUCCGCUUCUUGGAGAAAUUAUGUGUUUGUCGUUGGAGGAGAGCACCACCGUCCCACCGCCAUAUCAAAAACUGAUAGUGAUAGUGAUCCCAAACAACGUUUAAUCUCUCUCGAUGUCUUCAGAGGCUUUACCAUCGCUGUAUUUACUUACUACUUUCCCCCUUUUUUCCCUUGUCAAUAACUCAUCAACCUUUUCUAUUGCUGGUGGAAAAUGUAAUUUUUGAUUCUUUCUUCCUUUCUUCCUAAACCUUAUGUAACAAUUGAUUUCCAAUAGGUCUAUCACAUAUAUAAACACUUACAAGUCAAGAACUCAUUUAGAUAUAUCAAAGUAUUUGCAAAUACAAGGAAAUAACACUUAACCCGUACCAAACACUUUCAUUGAUCAUAGAUAAAGUACACUACAAUAUGAAAUCAAAAAUUAAACACAAAACAAGGUACUAUAGAUGAAACUAAUGAAGGUUUGGAUUAGGUAAAAUAGGAAAUUUAGGCUGUUGGAAUAGCAGGAGCCUAGAAGAGGAGUGGGAUCUUUCUUAAGAAGCUCAAAAAGGUCCUUUAGGUUGGACGAAUUUGUAGCCCUCUCUUUGUCCAGUUCAACCUUGAGCCUUGUAUUUUCUUCCUUUUAACCUACCUUCUCAAGGCCAUAUUAGAUUUGGAGCAGGUCCAAAGCAUCUUGAUUUAAGGCACGAAUAACUGGAAUUUCAGUAUUCUUUUUGCUGAUAUGGCCUUUAAUCGCUGUAAAGGUGCAUUGACUCCUCUUUGAGGAGCUAGUAUAUCAAUCUUGUUUACUACACCAAUUACAUGUUUAGUGGUUUGAUGAUGUCGAUUCUUAACCGGUACCCUCAAGUGUUCAAAAAUAUACCCCAACCAAAACCCAUAGCCUAAUGCAUGCUUAGUCUUGUUCUUUUUGUAAUUUUGAGCAUAUGACACAACAUUAACUUAGGCAAAUUGAUAGGGACUCGAGAAACAAGCAACUCCAAUCCAUAUAGUUAGCCUCAUGUGCUUAUAGUUCUUAGAAAGAAGUAUUUUAUGCUACACACCAACAAUAACUUGUGCAAAGAAAGCAUAACACCUUUGUCCACCCUGUCAUGCUCAUCCAAAUUUGGGUCAUCAAUAAACUUUCUAGCAAUGUCCAAAGUUAAGGUAAAAUAAUCCAAUGGAGGCCAAUUUUUUUUUCAAAUAAUGCCACCAACCAUCAGUUGGAACACCCAAUACUUGAGCAAGAAAGUCUGGGAUAAAGGUGAUAGGAACAUCCCUAACCGUACUAGAUAUAGAGGUUAAGGAACCUGUGACAUUGAUGUAGAACUCUCUAUAUCCUUCUUACCUAUUUUUAUUUUCUUUUUUACUUGAAGGUAAAGAUAUGAAAACCUUGUGCUUGAAUGAGAAGGAUCAAUUUAGUCAUCUCAACUCUACCAAACCCAAUAAUCACUCUCCCCUAAUGACAAUUCUUUUUCCAAAAUUGACAAUCUUAACCGUUUUAGAAGAAUGAAUAUCUUCCACAUCCACAUAGGACUAAAUAUCAUCCUCAGUAUCACCUAAAAAAUCUUCUUAAUCAAUUUCAUUCUCCCUAAGAGAUUCAUAUGAAGAUCCUUCUCAUCAGUAUCCUCACUAUUAAUGGGUUUUUUAACCAGCAUAUGGACAUGUUGCUUGACCCAUUUUUGAGUGGUUUUGAAGAUGUAACACGUUUACCCUUUCUUUUUUAGCAGCCUCCACCUCAUCAUUUAGAAUUUCAAUGGGAGCAACUGGAGGAACAAAUUUCCCUUUGUUAGAAAGAAUUUUUUGGACAAACAUAGCGACCAAGCCCUCAUCAAGUGCUCUUUUUUCACUCUCAGUUAUUUGAACAGGAAUAACUUGAGAGGGUGAAGCUGAUCGUUAUCAAUUAGUUAAUUAAAAGGAAUGACCACAUGUUUUCUAGUGGCCUUUCUUAGACAUGAUCUUACACCAACCAAUUUGGCUAUGCGAAUAUCCUUCUUUUCAUCAACAAUUAUAGAGGAACGGGUUGUAUUAAUAUGUUUCUUAUAGGUGGUACUAUUAGUUUCAUACCCAGUAGCUGCAUCUUUAGAUAACAAACCUAGUUUCUUAUCUACAUUGAUCCCAAUAGAAGAACUUGAUUUUAUUGAAGGGUCAUGUAAUACCUCAAAUUUCUAGUCCUUGAAAAUUUUUAAAAUUUUAUCCUCACUGUCAGACUACGACUCUCCUUACAAGUCGUAGGAAGUUUUGACUAGUCUUAAGGACCCAAUCGUAGAAUGACCAAUAGGUAGGGCUGGAUUUUCUGCUAUGACUAUGACUAGGACCGCACGAGUUGUAAGGUCCCAUAAUGAGUUGUUAAGUGUUAGUCGUAAGGUGAUUAAUGUAUGCCUCAAAAGUUUCUGUCUUGAUGAUGGGUGGUGCAUGCGAGUCAUAGGGAAUAGUUAUGAGUCAUAAGGUAUGACUCAUAGCCAGAUCAGUGGGGGUGCCCUGGGGUACUGUAUUGACUGACUCGAAGAGGUGAAUCAUAAGGAGUCAUAAUGAGUUAUUAGAAGACCCAUAGCGACUGGGUAAUAUUUUUUUGGUGUUUUAAUUAAGGGCAUUAUGUUCAAUUCCCCUUCUCCCUUACUUAGACCCCACGACCAUAAAGCACUUUAAGGAUUAUUUUUGAUUCAUAACACAAUAAAAAACACUUUCUUCUCUCUAAACUUUCUAAGUUCAAGAUACUUAGGAUUUUUAAAAAGUAGUUCAUUCAAGGGUUCAAGGGCUGAUUUCUCUGCAUCAACUUGGAUAUUUUAGGCAUGUUACUUUUCCUCAAUUAUUACUUUACAAAAAACAUGUAUUUAAAUAGUUUAAUUGGAUGGUUUUGCAUAUGGUUUUGAUAUGGUUGAGGGUUUUGACAUGGAUGGUUCUCAAAUUAUUUUACUAUGAUUUAUUAUGCAUUGUUUAUUCUUUGUUAAUGGUUUUGAACUUGUGGGGCGCAUGCGUAUGGUGAAUAAACAAAGGGGUCAUGGUUUUCCCUAAAUUGAUGUUUUGAAAUUGAAAUUGAUUUUGAAUAAUUGUGUACCCUCAACCCACCUAUGUAAUUGGCUUUGAAUUGUGAAAUUAUCAAUAAGUUUGACUUAAUCACCUAUGUUAUAGCAUUAAAUGAAUAGUUAAACAAAGAACAUAGAUUUUGAAGGCCUUGUUGGCUAUGAUAUGAUUUAAUGAAUAAAGGGGGUCGAGAUAUUCCCCCAAGAUAAUCUGAUUAUUAUGGCAUAGAGGUAAGCUUGCUAGUAUAAGGGUAUGAAGAUGCCCAUGGUGUGCCUUAAUAGUUGGUUCAUUGAUUAAUAAAUGGGUUAUGUGAAACUUGCUUUAAAUUAGGCUUAAUAGGGGUUAUGUAACGAAGACAUAAAGGUGUGGGUCUUGGAUGAAUUGUACUAAAAACUUAUGUUUGCCGACAUGAGAUUUGGUCUUGAUGACCUGUGUGCAUAGUUUACACUAUUGAUAUAUUUGCAUCUUAGACUGAUGUCGGGAUGGGGCAUUUCCUGGUAUUCCUUGAUACCUUUAGUUUGUGUGGCUAACAUGCACUAGGGCCCUUUCAGCAGGGAAAGCUGAACCCAUAUAGCCCGUGGGUGCUUGCUUAUGAUGGUUGAGCUACAUAGUCCAGGAUAAAGUUUUUACUUUAUGCUAAGCCUCAUUCCUUUUCCUGGCAUGAUAUAUUUAUAUGUAUAUGGGAUUAUGCACAUUGGUUUGAAUGGUUUUUGAAAUAUGGAUCAUGGCAUUAUUUUAUCCCCUAUCCCUGAGUUAUAUGCUAGUGCUCAACCCACUAAUCAUCUCCAAAUGCUGUAUCUUCAUCGAUGCAGACACCAGAUAUACUUCUACUUUUCUUAUGUAGUAUUAGGUGGAUCGGCUUGGUUCAUCAGUCGUUAGUGGUGAAGCAGUGAGCUUUUAUUCUCUGGAUGACUUGGCCAUUUCAUUAGUUUUAUUUCAUAGACUAGAAUUGAAAAGUUCAUAUUAACAUUAUCAUUAUUAGAGUUGGGGUCAUGUCUAGACACUUUAUUGAUUUCGGUUUUGUUAGAAGGCUUUAUGAAUUACUAUGGACUUGCGUGAUGUUGGUUGGUUGUUUUUGGUCUACUAUAUCUUGUUUUGAUAAUGAUCAGCUGACAACAAGGGACUAGGCCAUUGGUUCUUCAUGGAAACAUACAGUUGUCACAAGGCCUAUAUAGUUUUGUCAUCUAGUGUAACAAACAGCGCAGGUGAGAUGUAUACUAGUUGAUAAUGCUCAAAUUACACUCUUGAAUGGGUGUAAGCGAUCGUUGUCAAUAUAAAACCCAACUAGGUUAGGGUCGAAUCUCACAGGGAAUAAGGUGUGAACUUCAAUUUGUUUAUAAAAUACUUUACUGGUAGUUUACUAUUUCCGAAAAUAGGGGUUUAAAUUUCACAGAGAGUCAAUUGUCACUUUCAAUGAUUUAGUGUUGUAAUCAAUAUAAAUGAGAAACUAGAGUUAUGUUCACCAUGGGUAUUGGGAGUUAACAAAUAUUAGGUAAUGCUUGGGAUUCUUGGAGUAAGUAGAAACAACAGAAUAUCCCUGACUAUGAUACUGUCUAACUUAUCUCUCGACCUCACUAGAUAAUUUAUUAUCUAAUUCUCUCAAACUUAGAUAACUUAUCUAUUUCCAAUAGGAUGUUAUCUUAGGAAGAUUAAUCCAAUUACGGCAUCAAUCAUUAAACAGAAGGUUGGUAGCUUUCGAGUCCCUGUUGAUUAUUCACGUCCUCUAGUCUAUUUCUCCAUUUGAAGCAAAUAUACCUAAGGCAUAAUUUAAUGUUUGAAACCAACAGAUUUCAGUCAAAACAACAGAAUUUCAAGAUGUCCUACUACCCUUUGAAUCCGUUAAAUGCCUAGUAACCUAUCAGACCCUAAUCCAUGGAUCCCAAAACUCUGGCUAAUGGAAUUAGCCACUCAUGAUUUGAUGAACGAAAUAACAAGUUGAAUUCAUCAUAAUAAGGAUAAACUUAUAAAUGGAUGAAAAACAACAAAAAGUUUCUUCAAUUUACUCACGAGAUAAAAACCCAAAAAUAGUUGAUAAGUGCUUUUUUAAAGAAACAAGAAAAAUAUUUGAUAGUAAAGAUGAAGCAAUGUUACGUACUUCUCUUCAGAAGUUCUUCUCUGAUAAUUAAUGAUCGAUCCCUAAAAAAAAACCUAAAACAAGUCUUUAAAUAGUCAACCCUAAAUAAGAAAAUAAAAUUAAAGUUUCAGUUUUCUUUUUAGAUUGGACGGCGACGAUCUUGACGGCAUGUCAGAUGUUUGAUGAUAUGUGCGAGAUGUUAUCAAAGGUUCCAGUGAAUUGUUAUCUUUUGAAUCUUCAGACGACAAACCUGACGGCAUGUCAAAAUUCUUGACGGCGCGUCACAACUGCCGUCAUAAAUUCACUGGAAAUUAAUAUUCUCUGCUUCUAGUUGAUGGCG
rnacentral:lncRNA from 1 species